rnacentral:lncRNA from 1 species
UUUAGUCAUGUCGUCAACUCCUGCAGGCGGAGCCUCUGUAUCCUUUGGAUAGAUACUAGAAAUACUAGCAACAACCUGUAAUAAUAUAAUCUAUUCUCAAAAUUCUUCUAGAAAAAUCUGUGAAUCUUACUGCAAAGGUCCAUGGUAAAAAUAUCAUAAUCUUUUCCAUUUAUUGUGGUUUUAUAUGUAAUGAAUAUUAGUUUCUUACUGUUUUCCCGUUUGCAGUGACUAUUUUGGCAUUGGUGCCUUUGAUUUCAGUCACUUCUCCACUGAUCCAUGCGAGUUCUGGAUCCUCGACCCAGACAUGUGAUCCGAGUGUGAUAUUUACAGGAGUCCCCUAACAUUAUUUAUCAAAGAAAGCUUUUCAAUAGUCACAGUAAGAAGAAAAGAUAGUAUAUGCAACAGGAGGUUAAUGGGGAGGCUUACCAUAACUCAAGCUCUUCCAAGCUCUUACACUGAGAAUCUGCAGCAGUUGGAGAACAGAGAGAUAGAUCAAAAGAAAAGGUAAGAAGAAAGAGAUGAAUCAUAAAAAAAUAGGCGACUCUGAAUCAGAAGAUACUGGAGAUUCUUAACUUAGAAAGUGACUUUUCCCUCACCUAGUCACCUCUCGUCUCCACUAAGUCUCUUAACUCUUUUUUGCAGGUUUUAGAGCUUAAGAUGCAGUAAAGGCGGCGGCAAAUCAACUUCUUUCAGAUAUUCUCUCUUAGGUCAUUUGCUUUGAAAACCAUGCAUUCCAUAGAAAACUGUUUGGUGUAAGGUCACACUCUUCAUAUGUUUCUCCUUUUCAAAGCUUUAUGAUGCUUCCUUUUGAGUAUGAAUGGGGUCCUCGUACGUUGAACAAAAUGUGAAAUCUCUGCUUUUAGAACAAUAAAGUUGUCUGCUUUACAUUUUGAUAUUGCUACUGCACCAACUUUUCUCUUGAUCGGCCAUGGCCAGGUACUGUUUCGCUGUGAAAGUGAACUUCUUUCCUCUUUUUCAUUAAAAGACAAUAGUGCCCUUUACGUUUGUUUCCAUCUCUUACUGCAGAGCCAAAAGGCCUUUCACCAAUGUGUGGUGCUUAAACUUGAAGUCAUCACCUUAAAAGUGUAGACUUUGUCAAAUCUUAUAGAAAGUUACAUAUUUUUCCAUUUAUUUAUUUUCUGGGGUGUGUGAAGGUAAUGGCCGGUGGAGAAUCUCCGGUGGCGGUUAAGGCCGGUUUCUGAGACUGGACCAUUUGGAUUAACUUUUCCAGCUAGGUUUGGCUUUCUUUUCCCUCUCUUUUUUUAUUUAUGGUCGAAAGUUUUUAUUUUAGUUUUGUUAAGUAAUCUUUAAAUAUUCAAACCUGCAUCAUUAUCUGUCUAAUUUCUUGAUCCAAGAACAUCAUGAUUACAUGUGCAACCCUGUGUUUUAGCCUUUUUCCUUAAAUGAAAUAAAAAUAUAUCAUUGUAUCACUAAGGGA